CUCACGUGCAGGUGGAGCGGAAGUGAAGGUUGAUAGUCUCGCCCCUCCUUUGCCGCGUUGAGCGGUCGUCACUGUGUAUGACUGAUGUCGUAGCGGAUCUGCCCCGUGCUAAGGGGUCUAACAGGUGGAAACGACUGCUAAUACCUGCAUACGCCCUACGGGGGAAAGAAGGGGACCUUGCGGCCUUCCACGAUUGUAUGAACCUAUGUGGGAUUAGCUAGGUGGUGAGGUAAUGGCUCACCAAGGCGACGAUCCCUAGAUGUUCUGAGAGGAUGAUCAGCCACUCUGGGACUGACACACCGCCCACACUCCUACGGGAGGCAGCAUUGGGGAAUAUUGCACAAUGGGGGAAACCCUGAUGCAGCCAUGCCGCGUGUGUGAAGAAGGCCUUCGGGUUGUUAAGCACUUUCAGUAGGGAGGAAAGGUAACACCUUAAUACGCUGUUGCUGUGACGUUACCUACAGAAGAAUGACCGGCUAACUCCGUGCCAGCAGCCGCGGAAAUACCGAGGGUCCGAGCGAUAAUCGGAAUUACUGGGCGUAAAGCGUGCGCAGGCGGUUUGAUAGUCGAGAUGUGAAAGCCCCGGGCUCAACCUGGUAAUUGCAUUUCGAACUGGCGAACUAUAGACUUGUAUAGAGGGGUAGAAUUCCCGGUGUAACGCUGAAAUGCGUAAAGAUCUGGAGGAAUACCAGUGGACAACGCGGACUCCUGCACGAAAGCACUGACGCUCAAGCACGAAAGCGCUGAGCGAGCAAACAGGAUUAGAUACCCUGGUAGUCCACGCCGUAAACGAUGUCUACUCGGAGUCUGGAGUCUUGAACACUGAGCUCUCAAGCUAACGCAUUAAGUAGACCGCCUGGGGAGUACGGCCGCAAGGUUAAAACUCAAAUGAAUUGACGGGGGCCCGCACAAGCGGUGGAGCAUGUGGUUUAAUUCGAUGCAACGCGAAGAACCUUACCUACUCUUGACAUCCAAUGAAUUNUCUAGAGAUAGCUUAGUGCCUUCGGGAACNUUGAGACAGGUGCUGCAUGGCUGUCGUCAGCUCGUGUUGUGAAAUGUUGGGUUAAGUCCCGCAACGAGCGCAACCCCUAUCCUUAUUUGCCAGCACGUAAUGGUGGGAACUCUAGGGAGACUGCCGGUGAUAAACCGGAGGAAGGUGGGGAUGACGUCAAGUCAUCAUGGCCCUUACGACUAGGNCUACACACGUGCUACAAUGGUGAGUACAGAGGGUUGCAAAGCCGCGAGGUGGAGCUAAUCUCACAAAGCUCGUCGUAGUCCGGAUUGCAGUCUGCAACUCGACUCCAUGAAGUCGGAAUCNCUAGUAAUCGUAGAUCAGAAUGUCCACGGUGAAUACGUUCCCGGGGCCUUGUACAUCACUUACCGGGUCACUCCANGCCAGGGUCAUACAACG
rnacentral:rRNA from 1 species